rnacentral:rRNA from 1 species
CCUACGGGUGGCUGCAGUAGGGAAUAUUGCUCAAUGGGGGAAACCCGGAAGCAGCAAAGCCGCGUGAAGGAUGAAGGUUUUCGGAGUGGAAACUCCUUUUGUUAGAGAAGAUAAUGACGGUAUCUAACGAAUAAGCACCGGCUAACUCCGUGCAAGCAGUCGCGGUAAUACGGAGGGGGCAAGCGUUACUCGGAAUCACGGGGCGUAAAGAGGGCGUAGGCGGGAUAGCAAGUCAGAUGUGAAAUCCUAUGGCUUAACCAUAGAACUGCAUUUGAAACUGUUAUUCUAGAGUAUGGGAGAGGUAGGUGGAAUUCUUGGUGUAGGGGUAAAAUCCGUAGAUAUCAAGAGGAAUACUCAUUGCGAAGGCGACCUGCUAGAACAUAACUGACGCUGAUGCGCGAAAGCGUGGGGAGCAAACAGGAUUAGAUACCCUAGUAGUC